UACGAAGGGGGCUAGCGUUGCUCGGAAUCACUGGGCGUAAAGCGCACGUAGGCGGACUCUUAAGUCAGGGGUGAAAUCCUGGAGCUCAACUCCAGAACUGCCUUUGAUACUGGGAGUCUCGAGUUCGGGAGAGGUGAGUGGAACUGCGAGUGUAGAGGUGAAAUUCGUAGAUAUUCGCAAGAACACCAGUGGCGAAGGCGGCUCACUGG
rnacentral:rRNA from 1 species